rnacentral:rRNA from 1 species
CAAUAGCGUAUAUUAAAGUUGUUGCAGUUAAAAAGCUCGUAGUUGGAUUUCUGACAGGGGCUGGCCGGUCCCCGCGCUCGUCGCGGGUGUUACUUGUGUCGGCCCUGGUCAUCCUCGGCCUCCUUUGGAGGUCGUCUUUUACUGUGAAAAAAUUAGAGUGUUUAAAGCAGGGGUUUGCCCCAGGAUACAUUAGCAUGGAAUAAUAAGAUAGGACUUUGGUGCUAUUUUGUUGGUUUGCACACCAAGGUAAUGAUUAAUAGGGACAGUUGGGGGUAUUCGUAUUCAAUUGUCAGAGGUGAAAUUCUUGGAUUUCUGGAAGACGAACUACUGCGAAAGCAUUUACCAAGGAUGUUUUCAUUAA